AGCAGCUUGCUGCUUCGCUGACGAGUGGCGGACUGGUGAGUAAUGUCUGGGAAACUGCCUGAUGGAGGGGGAUAACUACUGGAAACGGUGGCUAAUACCGCAUAACGUCGCAAGACCAAAGAGGGGGACCUUCGGGCCUCUUGCCAUCAGAUGUGCCCAGAUGGGAUUAGCUUGUUGGUGAGGUAACGGCUCACCAAGGCGACGAUCCCUAGCUGGUCUGAGAGGAUGACCAGCCACACUGUAACUGAGACACGGUCCAGACUCCUACGGGAGGCAGCAGUGGGGAAUAUUGCACAAUGGGCGCAAGCCUGAUGCAGCCAUGCCGCGUGUAUGAAGAAGGCCUUCGGGUUGUAAAGUACUUUCAGCGGGGAGGAAGGUGUUGUGGUUAAUAACCGCAGCAAUUGACGUUACCCGCAGAAGAAGCACCGGCUAACUCCGUGCCAGCAGCCGCGGUAAUACGGAGGGUGCAAGCGUUAAUCGGAAUUACUGGGCGUAAAGCGCACGCAGGCGGUCUGUCAAGUCGGAUGUGAAAUCCCCGGGCUCAACCUGGGAACUGCAUUCGAAACUGGCAGGCUUGAGUCUUGUAGAGGGGGGUAGAAUUCCAGGUGUAGCGGUGAAAUGCGUAGAGAUCUGGAGGAAUACCGGUGGCGAAGGCGGCCCCCUGGACAAAGACUGACGCUCAGGUGCGAAAGCGUGGGGAGCAAACAGGA
rnacentral:rRNA from 1 species